GUAUAUCUGUAAAAAAUAAAUCAAGGCAACUGGACUUGCUGUAUUUUUCUUGAAGACGUUUUGAUGGUCAUCUGACAAGCUUUCUCUUCUAG